UUCUCGGCCUUUUGGCUAAGAUCAAGUGUAGUAUCUGUUCUUAUCAGUUUAAUAUCUGAUAUGUGGGACAUUGUCCCACAUGAUAUUAAAUUAAUUUUUUUAGGGGGAGGAUUCGUUACAGCAGCUUGCUGCUGGAAUCCUCAAGCGUCGCCCAUGCUUCGCACUACCGCAGGGGCCUGGCGCACCCCUUCCAAGUCUAGUUAAUUCUUACUUCAAUAUAAACUGAUUUGGUUAAUUAGUAACUCUUUAAACUUGUCAGGAUGAGAGCCUGGAGGCAUUUGUGACAGGCCCAUUUGGUCAAAUAUUUAUUUGGAGGAAGAUUAUGUUGAGAUGCCAAAUCCAGCCAGCUGCCGCUCCAUUGUCUUUCUCGUAUGAACAGAAGAAGAGUGUAGAAGUGGAAUUUUUUCGUCGGAGGAAUUAACUCUGAGACCUGGUAAUUGAUGUUUCAUUUCAAGCUUUCCUUCUCUUUCAGGCACUCCCACAUCGACGGGAAAACAAAAUCCUGAACCUGAACUUACGCAUAUAAAAUGCAGUGAACUCUAAACCUGAAACAUGGAGCCGUGUGGUGAGCACAAAGCGAACUAUUAUUUCGCCUUUUACUAAACAAUACCGUGUGCUCACCACUUAUAAGCGUCAUACCUUUAUUUUUGGAGGGUCCUGAUCACUUGAGGGCUAUACCCUGAUGGUGAGAGGGUGUUGAAUUCAUAGGAGUUUCAAAUUUAUGGCCAAGCCGCCGUUAGCUAUCUUAUUGCAAGCAGUAUUUCAAACCCAGAGCAAACUGACUGAUUUAAUCAGUCUUCGGUGGCCAACUUGGUUUGGGUCAGUUCAAUCACGAAACAAUUCGAUUGAACUGUCAUGGUUAUGUUAGUGUAAAAUUUUUACAAAGGAAGAAAAAUAUUUGUAAUUAUUGGAAUUUAAACCCCAAGCACCUGGGAAAUGGACAUGAUCAUGCAUGUCAUCAAGCUAAAUUAGAUUAUUGAUUAUAUAUAAUUUGAAUUUCA